CCUUGCUUCUUGGCACCCUACUUCCUCCUAAGAUCCAAGCAGCAAAAAGCCAGUCUUAGCUAUUUUAUUUUUCUUUGGGAGACAAGCUUAAUUCACCAGAAUAGUUUUUUUCUGGCUGUAUCCUGUUGAGCAGUGUAAGAUGAUCGUUUAAUUCAUGAGUUUGAACCAAAACAUAAUGAUGAUUUAAAAUUUAAUAUAAGUCCUUCCCAGCACCUCCCUGGAGCCCCCGCUGGCCUGAGUGUCCUUUGGC
rnacentral:lncRNA from 1 species